UGCAGUCGAGGGGUAACAGGGAUUGCUUGCAAUCUGCUGACGACCGGCGCACGGGUGCGUAACGCGUAUGCAACCUACCUUUUACAGGGGGAUAGUCAAUAGAAAUGUUGAAUAAUACCCCAUACGAUCGUUUAUUGGCAUCGAUAAACGAGGAAAACUCCGGUGGUAAAAGAUGGGCAUGCGUCCUAUUAGCUAGAUGGUGAGGUAACGGCUCACCAUGGCUACGAUAGGUAGGGGUCCUGAGAGGGAGAUCCCCCACACUGGUACUGAGACACGGACCAGACUCCUACGGGAGGCAGCAGUGAGGAAUAUUGGACAAUGGAGGCAACUCUGAUCCAGCCAUGCCGCGUGCAGGAAGACGGCCCUAUGGGUUGUAAACUGCUUUUAUACAGGAAGAAUGUUAUCUACGUGUAGAUAUUUGACGGUACUGUACGAAUAAGGAUCGGCUAACUCCGUGCCAGCAGCCGCGGUAAUACGGAGGAUCCAAGCGUUAUCCGGAAUCAUUGGGUUUAAAGGGUCCGCAGGCGGUUCAUUAAGUCAGAGGUGAAAUCCUACCGCUCAACGGUAGCAUUGCCUUUGAUACUGAUGGACUUGAGUUAUAGUGAAGUAGUUAGAAUGUGUAGUGUAGCGGUGAAAUGCAUAGAUAUUACACAGAAUACCGAUUGCGAAAGCAGAUUACUAACUGUAUACUGACGCUGAGGGACGAAAGCGUGGGUAGCGAACAGGAUUAGAUACCCUGGUAGA
rnacentral:rRNA from 1 species